CACACCUCGGCUUGCGCUGGUGCCCCGCAAGGGGCUUGAAAGGGAAUCCGGUGGCACCUCGUCAGGAGGUGGAGUCCGGAGCUGUCCCCGCAACUGUCAGCGGCGAGUGUGUCUCCUUUAUCGGCCACUGGGCAACUGGGAAGGCCGGAGACCCGCGAUGACCCGCGAAGCCAGGAGACCUGCCCGCGCACGCGUCGCCGC
rnacentral:ncRNA from 2 species